rnacentral:rRNA from 1 species
CCUACGGGGGGCAGCAGUGGGGGAUAUUGCACAAUGGAGGAAACUCUGAUGCAGCAACGCCGCGUGAGGGAAGAAGGUCUUCGGAUUGUAAACCUCUGUCCUCAGGGACGAUAAUGACGGUACCUGAGGAGGAAGCUCCGGCUAACUACGUGCCAGCAGCCGCGGUAAUACGUAGGGAGCAAGCGCUGUCCGGAUUUACUGGGUGUAAAGGGUGCGUAGGCGGCCCUGCAAGUCAGGUGUGAAAGCUAUGAGCUGAACUCAUAGAUUUCACUUGAAACUGUGGGGAUUGAGUGAAGUAGAGGCAAGCGGAAUUCCCGUUGUAGCGGUGAGAUGCGUAGUGAUCGGUAAGAACACCAGUGGCGAAGGCUGCCUGCUGGGCUUUAACUGACGCUGAGGCACGAAAGCGUUAGUAGCAAACAGGAUUAGUUGCCGUUGUAAUG